GCCUGGCCUUGUGCUGCCUCCAGUGGACCCUGCAGCUUAUCCAGGUGGCCUUGGCACUGGCAGAAUGGUGAUAGGGAAAGAAAGGAGCCCCUUUAAAAGCCAGAAAAGUGAAAGAGCAUAACCCAAGCUGCAAAGAAAUGAAGGAAAUAAGAACUAGCUCAUAAAGAUUAAUUCAUCACAGGAGAAAUUUCCUCUCUGAAAGGAGGUGACAUGGAGCCAUUAGGAGUAUUAACUGUGUCAGAUUGGGCAUUUGGGUUGUGUCCCAACUCCCUGGGGGAAUGAUUCCUCCAUGGAUCAGCUGAGAGCAGACAGAGAGUGUAAGGUGUAGCUCCAGCCUCUUCAAAGGUCUCUGGCAGAGGGUGGAGCAAAAGGACAGCAACUUUUUGGAUCACCUUCCACCUCCAGCAAGCAUUCUUGCUUUGGCCCAGAUCUCUGCAAUUUCCAUCAGGUACCAAUACACUAAAGCAAAUGUAUUUUGUCCAUCAUUAAAAGGCUCAUUCACAGUCAUUGUAUCACCUCUGAACAUGGGGACAAGUCCCUGUCCUACAGGGAGCUCUAUUCCAUAUCCCGUGGAGGAAUCACCUUUCAAGGACAAGGCU